UCCUGGGAACCAGCAUUAUCUCUUUCUAUGAGUUCAACUUUUUUUUUUAGAUUCCACAUAUAAGUGAGAUGAUGCAGUAUUUGUCUUUCUCUGUCUGGCUAAUUUCACUCUGCACAAUGUCCUCUAGAUUCAUCCAUUGUUGCAAAUGGCAGAUAUUGCUUGUACAGCAAUUCCUUCUCUGCUGGAGAUUCUCCUGAGACUUUCAUCAGCUAUAACCAAGGAAGCUGGUGGGGAUGGUCUGUGCUUGAUCCUAAAAAGAGAGGAGAGCAUCUCAUUGCCCAUAAUGCCAAGACAAGCUGCAGAGGGAGUGGGGCUCAAUAAACGCUUGCAGUUGAAUGGAAUUGUAUACUCCUUGUGCUCAUAUCAUCUGCUUCUCUACAACCAAGCCCUGUUCAAUGGGAGUCAAGGUGUCAGGGGUUUCAGAAGCAAUCACUCCUGCUUUGUUCUCCCAAGUAUCUGGAUAUUUCUAUCACAGCAACUCUAGUCAUUGUAUUUCCUGUACUGAUUCACACGUCUGUCUGGACGGGAAAGGAGACCAAUUUAGAAGAACACUUUAUUGAGAAACAAUUUUACUCAAAUUCUUCACUUACAUUUUGACACGUGUCUUCAUCUUCGGGAGAGUCACUUUUUGAGCCAUCUAACAGUUUUCCAAC
rnacentral:lncRNA from 1 species